GACAGAGGGUGCAAACGUUGUUCGGAAUUACUGGGCGUAAAGCGCACGCAGGUGGCUGAGUCAGUCGAUUGUGAAAGCCCUGGGCUUAACCUGGGAAUUGCAGUCGAUACUACUCAGCUAGAGUAUGGGAGAGGGCAGUGGAAUUCCCGGUGUAGCGGUGAAAUGCGUAGAGAUCGGGAAGAACACCAGUGGCGAAGGCGGCUACCUGGACCAGCACUGACACUGAGUCACGAAAGCGUGGGGAGCAAACAGG
rnacentral:rRNA from 1 species